rnacentral:rRNA from 1 species
GACGAACGCUGGCGGCAUGCUUAACACAUGCAAGUCGAACGGGUCUGCCCUGUUUUUUGCGGGGUGGGUCAGUGGCGAACGGGUGAGUAACACGUGAGUAACCUGCCCCUCACUUCUGGAUAACCGCUUGAAAGGGUGGCUAAUACGGGGUGUUCUGGCUGUGCCGCAUGGUGUGGCUGGGAAAGAUUCACUUUUGUGGUGUUUUGGUGGGGGAUGGGCUCGCGGCCUAUCAGCUUGUUGGUGGGGUGAUGGCCUGCCAAGGCUUUGACGGGUAGCCGGCCUGAGAGGGUGGGCGGUCACACUGGGACUGAGAUACGGCCCAGACUCCUGCGGGAGGCAGCAGUGGGGGGUAUUGCACAAUGGGCGGAAGCCUGAUGCAGCGACGUCGCGUGAGGGAUGGAGGCCUUCGGGUUGUGAACCUCUUUCGCCGGUGAAGAAGGUCCUGCUCUUUGUGGUGGGGUUGACGGUAGCCGGGUUAUGAAGCGCCGGCUAACUACGUG